AUGAUAUCAAGUGGAACCUCACCGCCGACGGUAUUUAUUCCUCAGCCUUCGGCCUAUAGGGCCCAAUGCGAGGGUGCGGUCACCUCCAACAUAACCACCGUGGUGUGGAAGAAUUGGGCACCGCCCAAGUGCAAAUUCUUUGUGUGGCUUGUUCUCAAGGAUAGAAUCUGGACGGCCAACAGACUGCAAAGAAGAGGAUGGCCCAAUUGCAAUUUGUGUCAACUUUGCAAGAGAGAGGCAGAGACCGCAGCUCAUCUUCUCUUUCAAUGCAGGUUCUCUGCCCACAUUUGGAAUGCUAUCAGAGUUUGGGUGGAUGCCCCCAAACUGGAUGUGAUGGCCUGGAACGGGAUCCCCAAGGUCAAAGAGUGAUGGUCGGCAGUGGUCAUUACGCGUGGCCACAUGAGGAAGGCGAUUUCAUUACUCAUCAUGCUUGUUACUUGGGAAGUGUGGAAAGAGAGAAACGCGAGGGUGUUCUAGCAUGUAUGUAGGUUGCCAAACAUGUUGGUCGAGGCUAUUAAAGCAGAGGCGAGGCUCUGGACUAUCGCAGGGGCGAGGCAUUUGGGUUUUUUUUAUGCCACGAGAGUAGGCUUGUGUUGUCUUUCCAUUUGUGUGAGGUGUAAUGGCCCUCUAUAG
rnacentral:rRNA from 1 species